rnacentral:rRNA from 1 species
GACGAACGCUGGCGGCGUGCUUAACACAUGCAAGUCGAACGGUAAGGCUCCAGCUUGCUGGGGUACACGAGUGGCGAACGGGUGAGUAACACGUGGGUGACCUGCCCUGCACUUCCGGAUAAGCCUGGGAAACUGGGUCUAAUACCGGAUAGGACCGCACCGUGAGGGUGUGGUGGAAAGUUUUUUCGGUGUGGGAUGGGCCCGCGGCCUAUCAGCUUGUUGGUGGGGUAAUGGCCUACCAAGGCGGCGACGGGUAGCCGGCCUGAGAGGGUGGACGGCCACAUUGGGACUGAGACACGGCCCAGACUCCUACGGGAGGCAGCAGUGGGGAAUAUUGCACAAUGGGCGGAAGCCUGAUGCAGCGACGCCGCGUGGGGGAUGACGGCCUUCGGGUUGUAAACUCCUUUCACCAUCGACGAAGGGUUUCUGACGGUAGAUGGAGAAGAAGCACCGGCUAACUACGUG